GCAGGGGGUUGUGGGUAUGCGGCUAGAGGGAAGGUUCCAGACACGUCGAGAGUGGGAAACUUAAAUUCCCCUCUCUGGUGUAGGCGCAGGCUUUAGCUCCAGGAUCUUUUCUGGAAGAGACUGGGGCAGCAUGAAUGUGCUGGAAGAUUAGAGGCUGCUGAUGCUGAAGGAAGGAGAAACGAGGAGGAAGUGUCCCUGUGGACAAGUCAUCUCCCUUCAUUUAAGCCAGGGAAGGCUGGGAGGUAUGAAUUUGAAGCUGGACACGUUGCUGCUCCCCUUAAAGUUUGGAUUAUUUUACUAAAGAAGAAGAGAACAGGAUCUUGUGUCUUCUACCAGUAUCCAUGAGAUUGUGGCAGGCUAAAAUCACAGACUCUUCAGAGUUUUCAUAAUGAUAAAGUAAAUAUUGCAAAGUACACAUACAAUAAGUGUACAAUUGAUGAAUCCUACAAAGUGAACUCACUCAUGUAACCAGCACCAGAUGAAGAAAAAAACAUCAGCAGCAUCACAGAAGCCCCCCAAAUGUCCCCUUCAGUCAAUAGCCUCCCAAAGAUAACCACACUCCUAUCUAGCAGUGUGGGUUAAUUUUUCCUGUUUUUGAACUUUGCAUAUAUUAAAUCAUACAACAUGUA
ensembl:lncRNA LINC00237 long intergenic non-protein coding RNA 237